rnacentral:misc_RNA from 1 species
CGCAAGCCUGACGGAGCAAGACCGCGUGGGGGAGGAAGGCUCUUGGGUUGUAAACCCCUUUUCUCAGGGAAGAACCAAAUGACGGUACCUGAGGAAUCAGCCUCGGCUAACUCCGUGCCAGCAGCCGCGGUAAUACGGAGGAGGCAAGCGUUAUCCGGAAUGAUUGGGCGUAAAGCGUUCGUAGGUGGCUACUCAAGUCUGCUGUCAAAGACAGAAGCUCAACUUCUGAAAGGCAGUGGAAACUGAGUAGCUGGAGUGCGGUAGGGGCAGAGGGAAUUCCCGGUGUAGCGGUGAAAUGCGUAGAGAUCGGGAAGAACACCGGUGGCGAAAGCGCUCUGCUGGGCCGCAACUGACACUGAGGGACGAAAGCUAGGGGAGCGAAUGGGAUUAGAUACCCCAGUAGUCCUAGCUGUAAACGGUGGAAACUAGGUGUUGCCUGUAUCGACCCAGGCAGUGCCGUAGCUAACGCGUUAAGUUUCCCGCCUGGGGAGUACGCACGCAAGUGUGAAACUCAAAGGAAUUGACGGGGGCCCGCACAAGCGGUGGAGUAUGUGGUUUAAUUCGAUGCAACGCGAAGAACCUUACCAGGGCUUGACAUGUCCGGAACCCUGGCGAAAGCUAGGGGUGCCUUCGGGAGCCGGAACACAGGUGGUGCAUGGCUGUCGUCAGCUCGUGUCGUGAGAUGUUGGGUUAAGUCCCGCAACGAGCGCAACCCUCGUUCUUAGUUGCCAUCAUUAAGUUGGGCACUCUAGGGAGACUGCCGGUGACAAACCGGAGGAAGGUGGGGAUGACGUCAAGUCAUCAUGCCCCUUACGUCCUGGGCUACACACGUACUACAAUGGGAAGGACAGAGGGCAGCCACUUCGCGAGGAGGAGCUAAUCCCGUAAACCUUUCCUCAGUUCAGAUUGCAGGCUGCAACUCGCCUGCAUGAAGGAGGAAUCGCUAGUAAUCGCAGGUCAGCAUACUGCGGUGAAUCCGUUCCCGGGCCUUGUACACACCGCCCGUCACACCAUGGAAGUUAGCCAUGCCCGAAGUCAUUACUCUAACCUUUCGAGGAGGAGGGUGCCGAAGGCAGGGCUGAUGACUGGGGUGAAGUCGUAACAAGGUAGCCGUACCGGAAGGUGUGGCUGGAUCACCUCCUUUUUAGGGAGACCAAACUUCGGUUGAGCUAACCCCAAUUUACAAGCCAACUGAGGUCAUCCCAGGUCGUGCGAGGAAUUGAGCAACUACUAGGCUUUCAAACUUUCGGUUCGGAUAUUAUCAAAUACUUAACUACUGAAUCUCUCUUCAAAAAAGAGAUAAACAGUGCAGCACCUAAAAUUCCAAGAAAAGAGGCUUUAGGAUGCUGGACGAAAGUUCAGUCAGAACCUGGAAAACUGCAUAGAGAAUCAGGCAAAAGGUAAGACCGUAACAGACUUUUCAAAUGAGAGGUCAAGCUAGAAAGAGCUAACGGUGGAU